rnacentral:rRNA from 1 species
GAUAAACGCUGGCGGCGUGCAUGAGACAUGCAAGUCGAACGAAGGAUCGGGCUUGCUCGAUCCUUAGUGGCGGACGGCUGAGUAACGCGUAGGUGACCUACCCCGAAGUGGGGAAUAACUGCCCGAAAGGGUGGCUAAUACCGCAUGUGGUCGCACGUUCAUUCGUGCGAGUAAAGCCGCAAGGCGCCUCGGGAGGGGCCUGCGUCCGAUUAGCUCGUUGGUGGGGUAAUGGCUUACCAAGGCGACGAUCGGUAGGUGGUCUGAGAGGACGAUCACCCAGACUGGGACUGAGACACGGCCCAGACUCCUACGGGAGGCAGCAGUCGGGAAUUUUGCUCAAUGGGGGAAACCCUGAAGCAGCAACGCCGCGUGAGGGAUGAAGGCCUUCGGGUUGUAAACCUCUUUUGUCAGGGACGAUGAUGACGGUACCUGGCGAAUAAGCCACGGCUAACUACGUG